AUUUCUCUGAGAUGUUUGCCAGCGGGCCAGUCCCCUGAGCCGAUAUUUAGUACCAACAGAAUGUGAUGAUCCAUGAUCGGUGUGCAUGCUCGGCCCGUCCGAGAAGCCUUAAGAUUGUGACAGCACGUUCACCUUGAACCAUGGGUUCAAGGGUUACAGCCUGCGACAGCAUCUCGGAGAUCCC
rnacentral:other from 1 species